rnacentral:rRNA from 1 species
GACGAACGCUGGCGGCGUGCUUAACACAUGCAAGUCGAACGAUGAAGCCGGAGCUUGCUCUGGUGAAUUAGUGGCGAACGGGUGAGUAACACGUGAGUAACCUGCCCUUGACUCUGGGAUAACUGCGGGAAACUGUAGCUAAUACCGGAUACGACCCUCGGAGGCAUCUCCUGGGGGUGGAAAGAAUUUCGGUCAAGGAUGGACUCGCGGCCUAUCAGCUAGUUGGUGAGGUAAAGGCUCACCAAGGCGACGACGGGUAGCCGGCCUGAGAGGGUGACCGGCCCCACUGGGACUGAGACACGGCCCAGACUCCUACGGGGGGCAGCAGUGGGGAAUAUUGCACAAUGGGCGCAGGCCUGAUGCAGCAACGCCGCGUGAGGGAUGACGGCCUUCGGGUUGUAAACCUCUUUUAGCAGGGAAGAAGCGAAAGUGACGGUACCUGCAGAAAAAGCACCGGCUAACUACGUGCCAGCCGCCGCCGUAA